CCGCGCCUGGCCUCGGGCUGCCACGCUGACAGGAGGUGCGACGCCUAAUGGAAGGACGCUGCACAGUAGGGUGCGGCGCCUAGCUGUCGGGAGCCACUCGAAAGGGUCAGCAGAGCGAAUUUUUUUCGGAAGCAGGUCAGUUUAUGAUUUGAUUUGGGCCUCAGGUCAAAUAUGUGAUUUCUGCCUUUUUCCUAUCCUCUUCCCCUUUGCUCUCUUAGCCCUCAAGAAACCUAACGAAGCUGGCGGCUGAGAUGACUCGGCUGGUGCUCUGCUGGGCCGCUCCAAUGGCGACGUCGACCCUGUCGGCCGCUAUCUACCUUGCCGCCGCCGCUCCCACUGAUUUUGCUGCCUCUGCGACGCCUCCGUCCCUCCAAGGCGAUUGCAUCAUCUGAGGCGGGGUCGCGGCACCUUCCCAGAUGCGGCGGAGGCACCACAUCCCAUGGCGACGGCGGCCUGGAGCUCCUCCCACUCUACUUCGUCCCCACGUUGAUGCAAGCCAUCUGCGGUGUGAUCCUUCCAAGGUGCACGGUCUUCUUGGUGGAUCCAGCUGAGGCGCGCGAUGGGAUCUCGUGCGAGGGGACGAGGCGAUCUAGCGGCGCGUGUUCAUCUCGGUGGAUCCAGUCGAAGUGCACGAGGGAGUCAUCCUAGGGGUUGGAAUUGGUGACUGAGGAGGAGGCGGCGCCGGCGAGGGUGCACAAGCCGUGCACAAGGCCACGACGACUCCACAAAGACUGUUGCGCUCUCCCUGACCAUCGACCGCGUGCUCUCCGACCUCUCCUCAUCAUUGACGGGUGAAGAAAAUUUCUUCUAGAGUAUAUGCUGCUGUCUAAUGCUUAUACAGCGGAGAGGAGGUGUCCGAGGAGCCGACCCCAAUGGCUCUGUCUACGCAGCCGUGGAUUGGAUGCACAAUUGUUUCACUUCGCAAACAACAGCCAUGUCAGGAAGCCAUGAUCUGGAGUGGUCAUCGCUCAAUAAAAAUGGAUGCAGCAAAACCCCCAUUGAAGAAACGUGCUAGAAGCCAGCUCCACAUUCGGCUAACCUGAACCUUCAUCGCUACCUAGGUAUGGCUGCCAAGUUUCCUUUAGUAAUGUAUAUGCAUCAUGUUCAGACGUGCCUGCAAGGCUCCAUCUAGGUAGAUGUUACGUACUCUAGCUUCCCACCACUAAUUUCAUUUAGUUUCUUGAUUGUAAGUUGAACAAACUGAAUCUACGUACAUAUGCAAAAAUAUUUCACUAUGCAAACUACAAUAUAUGGUCUGCACUUGCAAUAGUUUUACUGCACUUGGAAUACAAUGUCGUGAAGAAAAUUAUUGUGUUUGCCACAACCUUAGCCUGACAUACACAUUCUGAAAUGGUCGGCGUUCAAACAAAACAAAGGUUAGCAUGUUCAUCCCCGUUUUAGAAUGGUUUUGUACGAUGCAGAUUCAUUGAAUGGCCGAGUAUUAAUUUCAUUGGAUCUGUGGUGCGAUGUCUAGCUAGCAAUUGGAAAACCAAUUAGUUGAUGAAUUGAAGCAGUCUUGUUUGCAAGUGUACCACUUGUUGUGUUCUUAAAGAAAAGGACUUGGCUUCUCUAGCUUCGCAAGUCUUUAAUAAACAUGCAUAAUACAAGGAUUGGGCUCAUCGCUUUAUUGACAUGCAUGUCAUCAUUUGUGAGAAGUCAUUUUCAGUACCAUUGAUAUUGCUUACAAACAUGUUGACCAGGCGCAAACUGAAGCAGAUCCAUCCAAGAUGCUCAAAACUGUUUUAUUUUUGUGCUCUUGUGUUCUAUCUUCUUGAACAACCCAACCAACACAUUUGUAGUCUAGGCCCAGAAUAGGUGUUUACUUCAUUAUAACUCCAUUUAUUUUGACUUUCUCAUCGACAAUAAGUUGUAGUAAAAUACUGAAUCUGCCGACAUGCAUUCUAGAAUGACCGUCUUCAAACAAAGUGAGACUCAUUUACUACCCUGGUUUCGGUUGUGAUUGUUCAAUCCCUUUCCAUUAUCUGUAGCCUGGGUUCGCUGCUAGACUACUUUUUACUAUUCCAAUUGCAAAAUAUAUGUCUCAACGGAUUAUACUAACCGAGAAGGUUGAAAUCCCACGAGAAGACGACAUGCUAGCGGCCAGCUCUACCUUUUGCCAACGUGUGAAUCAAGGCUGCAUCGAUCGGCUAACUAAUGAGAUCAAUGAGUUUCUUCAUUAGGACCUCAGAUUGAUUCCCAAGUUUUCUCAUAGCUAGCAAGUCCCUCCAUCCGGGUUUAUUAGGCCGACCAAUAAAUUUAAGUAUGUCACAAAAAUUAUAUCAUCGGAAAGCUCUUUCAAAUACAAAUCCAACCAUGUACUUUUUGUACAAUAUAUUUUAUAUUUUACUGGGAAUAUGGAUGGUCAAAGUUUGGCUCAAAAUAGUGGGGGGCCUAAUAAACCUGGACGGAGGUACUAGCUAGCAAGUCUAAUUAGUGAGUAAUAUAUUCAGACCUGCAGUCUCCAUCUUUAUUAGUUUAUUACUCCCUCGGUCCGGAAAAGGUUGUCCCAAGCUUGUUCCUCAAAUGGUUGUAUCUAGCGCUAACUUGGUGCUAGAUACAUCCAUAUCAAGGACAAGUUUUUUCGGACAGAGGGAGUACUUAACAAUGCCCUCAAGACCUGCACAGAAAACAAGGUCAGAUCCGUGGAACACAUGAUACUAGCAAAAAUGCUCUGUAGGUAAUGUUGUUAUUAUUGUUUCUUUCAUCAACAUACACCAUGUUAUUUAGGGAGCAAUUAUAACUGUUGUGCGCUUCUCCUUGGCACACUACUUAUGUAGUUAUUUCCUCAAUUCAUUUUCCUAGCUAACAAGUAUUUUGUUUGUACUUCAGUGUAAGCAACUGUAAGUUGGUUAAGAUGUAACACAACUUGAACCAUUCUUUCAUAACAACCCACUGGCAUUUGAUAUUGAGUUUCAGAAUUUUUAUUAUUAUUGUAGAUCAGAUGGAAAUCUACAACCUCAAAUCUGAGCAAGUACACAUUCAGUCAUCUAUCCUGACGCAAUGCAGAAUAUUUGUCCCUUAGACCAUAAUGUAUACUUGUAUUACUGGCCAGAACGCAUUGAGAUUUUUUAAGAUAAUAAAUAUCGCCCCAAAGUUCUGAAAUAUUUGUACUGCUUUUUUUCUCUCUCUCAUGUCUUUCCUCGAUACCUUUUUAGUUAUCAUGAUGUGAGUCUUUGCGGGAGUCUUUUUAGGAGACAAAAAGAGGUCAUGUUCCAUAUCAAUCAUAAUUUAUAUCUCCGCGCUUAAUACCACAACUCAAACAUUAGACCUAAGGAGAAAACUCAAAAUACUACUCCCUCCGUCCCAAAAUAAAUGUCUCAACUAUGUACUAACUUUAGUACAAAGUUCUCAACUUUGUACUAACUUUAGUACAAAGUUGUACUAAAGUUGAGACACUUAUUUUGAGACGGAGGGACUACUUUUUUGCAGAUUAAUCGGACUGGAGUUCUCUUGAGUUACAUAGCAUUAUAUUCUUGAUUUCUCUCUUUAGUUACAUCCCAUCAUAUUCUAUAAAAUGGAGAGACAAGUACAGUAUAUAAAAGCACUGCAAACAAAUGUAUACAAGUUACUUCAUAUCUCUAACAACUCUUUUAAGUCAAAAUAGACGGGCGCAACAACACGCGCCAUCAACGAUCUAGUCCUUGCUUAAUACACUGUUGCAUAAGAGAACACUAAUCCCCUCACAGAUUUCUACCUUGACAUUGGCAUCGACAAAUAGCUUGAAGGUCCCAUAUGACAAUCUGGUGCCUCAGGAGGGUACCAUAAGGUAACUGUAAUAACUCUGUUAUGUUUUGCUCAAAAGAGCCUUUGAAUAUACAUGCUUACAUUCAUAGAGUUUGUUGAGAUACUUGUUGUUUUCAGCAUAUGGCGUGCAUGAUGCGUGUAUGUUUAUAAAGUGCACGUCAUGUGUGGGGUUCGGUAACCUAGUUGUGUACUUGCUAGCGGAUUUUCUUACAAAGAGGUGACUUAUUAUGUUCUGGGGGCUUGGGAGUUUAUCAUGCCACGCUAGAUGCUGACGCUCUGACUCAGGCCACAUUGAGCGACACAUGCACUGGGAGCUCGGGAGGUUACCACACCACGCGAGGUGUUGGCCCUUCGGUCCAUUUGCAUUGCAUCAACAGUUGCACGAUCAUGCCCAGUGGAGGCACAUGACUUUGGUCUCAGACUGGAAUCUUAGAUGUGCGAUUGCUAGCAGCCGAUCAAAUGUAAGAUGAAGCGACUUGGCUAUGCGUUGAGGUUUCAUUCCCAGCCUUGCAUAGUAUUGAUGUGCAAACACUAGAUUCCCCUACAUCAAUUGAUCUAUUCUCGAUGUAGGACUGCUGAACCAUUGUUCCGGGCUCUCUAAGUGUAUAUGACGCCAAGCCAGUUCAGUCGAUUGUUUUGUCCAGACGCUAAUCUCGGCCUCCUGUAUAAUCCAUUGCAGCUAGAUUUGCAUGCUUUAGAUGUCGGGACUCAACUGCUACAAUCUCUAGAUGUUCGUUCAGGUGAUCAUUCGAAGGGCCAAAUCAGAACUUCUCCUUCGUUCGCUAGUGGCGACUGGAGUCCAUCUCUGGUCGGCGAAGAGGGUGUGUAACAGUCGCGUGUGCAACUGUCUUGGUUGCAUGACAUCCAUGAAAAGCACUUCUCUA